ACUCAAAGGAAUAGACGGGGGCCUGCACAAGCGGUGGAGUAUGUGGCUCAAUUCGAUGCAACGCGAAGAACCUUACCUGGCCUUGACAUGCACGUGGUAGAAGCCUGAAAGGGUAACGACCCCGCAAGGGGAGCGUGCACAGGUGCUGCAUGGCUGUCGUCAGCUCGUGUCGUGAGAUGUUGGGUUAAGUCCCGCAACGAGCGCAACCCUUGCGUCCUGUUGCCACCCGGCCGAUAGGCUGGAGCACUCUGGACGGACUGCCUCGCUUAAACGAGGAGGAAGGUGGGGAUGACGUCAAGUCAGUAUGGCCCUUACGGCCAGGGCUGCACACGUACUACAAUGCCCGAUACAAUGGGGAGCAAACUAGUAAUGGGGAGCAAAUCCUGAAAAUCGGGCCCAGUUCAGAUUGUCGGCUGCAACUCGCCGGCAUGAAGCUGGAAUCGCUAGUAAUGGCGCAUCAGCUACGGCGCCGUGAAUACGUUCCCAGGCCUUGUACACACCGCCCGU
rnacentral:rRNA from 1 species